CAGCAACAAUGGGGAUGAUGUUCUUAAUCUCUGUGCUGCUGCCAGUCAGCAGUACUCGACCAUCCGGUUGAAUGGUAAUUUUCGAACUGCGAGCCAUAUCUCCCAGAAAGUCUACUAAAGGGUUGACGGAAUCAAAAUUUCCCUUCGUGUUGAUCAUAUGCGGUCCCAGAUCGACUGACAGUUGCAAUGAUUGAAGGUCGAUCGGCUCAGAAACCUCGGACAGAUCCAAUCCCAAUGGUUCUAAUUCGUUCAGGCGAGAUUUGGGGAAUUGCAUUAUUCUGUCAUGUCUGGCGCAUUGUCCAGAAAUCCCAGACCCGGAGAGAACUCUAUUUGUCCACUCAUCUACAUGGGAAAAAAAAGUAAACAAUUAGCAUCAUCUUGUCAAAGUCUAUAACUUGG
rnacentral:lncRNA from 1 species